GGGUCAGUAGGUUGGUCGUGCCACCGGUACGUACUGGUCUCACUGAUUCCUCCUUCCUGAAGAACUGUAAUGCCAUUAAUUUGGUGUUGCGGGGAAACAGGACUGUUACUUUGAAAAAAUUAGAGUGUUUAAAGCAAGCUAACGCUUGAAUACAUUAGCAUGGAAUAAUGAAAUAGGACGAUCGAUCCUAUUUUGUCGGUUUCUAGGAUUGACGUA
rnacentral:rRNA from 1 species